CUCUCCCUCUCCAACCACCUCCAGUCACCAAGACCUGUUGGUUCUCAGAAAGUUCUGUUGAAUCCAUUCUCUUCACUGAAGACUGCAGCAGCCUCCUGGCUGGUCUCCCUGCCUCCUCCUCGGAUUCCUUCACUCAGCAGCUAGAGCAACGCUUCAUCUGUGGCCCCUGCUAAAACACCUCCAGUGGCUCCCUGUCACUCUCAGGGCUCAGGCCCCAUCAUCAGCAUGGCUGGCAGGCACCACAGGACUGGCCAGUGAACCCCUCCUUCCUCAUUUCUCACCGCCCUCCCUGUUCCCUGAUUCCCUGCAACACACACAUUCUAUACUGAGCCAAGCAAAAGGCCUGCUGGCACCUCUGGCCUGACCGUACCCAGAGACUGGAUCACAUGCUCCUGCUCCAUGCCUGCCUCCCCAGCGGAAUGGAAGCAAUUCCUCCUUGGACCCUAUGAUAGGCUGCAGAGGGGCACGGCUCAGUGAGCAUUUGUUGAGUGCCUGACUGACUACCCUGCUGAAUGAAUAAGUGAAUGAAUGAAUGACCAC
rnacentral:lncRNA from 1 species